GCUGUCAUUAUUGUCUUUUAAAUACUUCAACUGCACACCGGGAACACUGUAGAAAAUGGCAGAGCGAGACCUCUAGCAUCUUUAAUAUUGCUUGAAGAUGCAGAGUGGUGUAUCUGUUGUGCAACCCCUGGUGAGAAAAUUGGCUGUGGAAGUGGUGUUCUUUAUAAAUGCUGUGGAAAUGCUACUACUUAGAGUUUAAAGUCGAAUGCAGAGGCAACCUGUUGCAUGCUGUAGAUGGUGUAACCUACUAAAAGUUCUGUGGAAACAGUGGUUAAAUUCUCAACAUGCUAAAUUCUGUGCUACCCUGGCUGUGGUAAAUCUGGUUUGUGAACACUGACUGCAGAGAUCCAUCCUUACCUUAUCUAUCAUUCAGGUAUAGUGACUAGCCAUUUGAACAAAUACCAUGGGAGCUGAUGGAUUUUUGUAUUAAAAAAAAAAAUUGAGAUAAGCUUUAAUAAUACACAGCUGAGCAGGUAGUGGGAUGACUGGAUGAAGUAUAAUGGCUUUUCAUAUAGUGGGUCAGCUCAAAACAUGAUACUGUGUUCUGCUCUUAGAAGAUAUAAAACUGUAAAAUAUAUAUCAUUCCAUUAUCUAUCUUGUCUCUUACUCCCCCUCCCUCACCAUCUCCCUUUACUUCAGUGGAUCCAUAAAGUCUGAGAAUGAUCUGGCAAGUGGUGUGCUUAUCCAUGGGGAAGUGAACUGUUUUACUCAUAUUGCUCCCCAGAACAGCAGCUGAGAACAGUGGGAAAUCAAGUGCUGGCAUUUUUGUUGGCUUUACAUUAAGCAACAGGAGAAUAGCUUAUUUGCAAUGGAACUCACACCAGGUAGUCAGGAUACAAAGAUCAGCAUCACUCAGCAACAGACCGUAGGAGCAGAAUUGAAAGAACAAGCAAGCAUUAAAUAAGAAAGUACAUAUGCAGUUGUGCACUCUGAAUAGCAUCAUCACAGAGUCACAGCAGCAUGCAGCCUGUGUUCUCUAUGCAUUACUGCCUCUUAUAACCUGCACACUUUGUACAGAUGGACUCAUAGGAGUGAAAGUUAUCCUUGAAAAUGUAAAAUUCUUUUGCAUGAUUUUGCGAGCCCCUUUGUAAUAACUGAAGUUCGCCCCUUUGUAACUUGAGAUAAUUUUCUUCCUUCUCAUUUGCCUUCCCUUCAUAUAAUUCAUGCACUGCUGUAAAGCGUCUUGGAAUAUAGAGGAAAUUUCUUUCUGCCCCGUGCUUCUGAGGUUUCAAUAGAAUAUAGAAGACUUAAUUUGGGAAGGACCUAUGAAAAUCGAGUCUGGCAAUCUUAGACUAAAUCUCUUAAUGUAUAAGAGGUAUUACGGUCUAUAACAACAUAAAAUAUUUCUCUGUAAAAGACGUUUCCACAGUUGACUUGAUUUUUGUGUGAUGCAAGUAAGAAAUUGUUUUAUCAGGUUUCUAUUUGUUCUCUUUAACUUUGAUGUUCCAUCAUUUGCAUUAAGGAGUAGAGCUGCAGGUAGAAUGCUUCUCUUCUCUUUGGAAAGAAGAGGUACAAUGUUUACUAAUACCCGUUGGCACACUACAUCCAGUUGUAUUUGUUUCCUGCUAUUUAACAUCUAAUACGAAGCGUGUGAAUGGCUGCUAUAGAUAGAAGUUGAAGUGAGAUGAGUCCCAAUUAACCUGAAAGUAACAUAUGCUUUUAUUCCAAAAGUAGUUGAUGUAGGAUGAUGUACAUUCACUGAAGCCUGAAUGGCUAUCUGGAUACACUGAUAGAAUGAAUCAGCUGUAAGCUUUCUAAAAGACAUGCAACAUUCUCUGAUAUUGUUUUAUGCACAGAGUUGAAUAGCCCAAUUCAUGUAGCAUUUUGGUCAAUGCCUUUUGAAAAUGAGGCUCUGACAAUCACUUAGGAAAGAACAGUCCAUGAAGAACUUAUUUUUCCUGUGAGAAUGAUAAUAUGACUGCAGACAGUUACUUCUCCAUGAGCUGUAACAUACUACGUUCCACCACAGGUAGCAAAUCAUUUGAAAUACAGUUUCAUGAAAUCAGGGAAUGAAAGCACUAUUUUUGAAUAAAAAUACUAUAGGAAAAUUAUGCUACCAUUUCCCUGCUGAGGAGUUCUUGAAAUGCAAAUGGACUAUAAUUACAGAAAUAAGAUAGUAGUGCAUGGCACAGAAUGACAAAUAUCUGGUGAAAGACAGUAGAGCACAAGGUUUGAUGGAUGACAGUAAGUGAAAAGCUCUUCUCCUUGCUUCUAUAUUGAAUGUGACUGAAUCUCGGUAUUUUCUCUUGAGUUUAAAAGGGUUGCCUGGAUUCUUGUACACAAGUGUUUGUAUAGCACAAUGUGAAGAGUUUCUUUGUAGUGACUGUGGCUUACUAUGUGUAUUUCUAUUAAUACACUACACACAAAGUACAGCAGUAUAUAAAUAAGUACAUCAGUUUUAUAAUGUUGUACUAUGUAUAU
rnacentral:lncRNA from 7 species